rnacentral:lncRNA from 1 species
AGUGGCACCAGCCAAAUCCCUGCCUUACUGACCUCUCCCCUGGAGGAGCAGGAGCAGCGCUCAAGGCCGCCCUGGGAGGGCUGAGAGGCAGGCUCUGGACUGGGGACACAGGGAUAGCUGAGCCCCAGCUGGGGGUGGAAGCUGAGCCAGGGACAGUCACAGAGGAACAAGAUCAAGAUGCGCUUUAACUGAGAAGCCCCCAAGGCAGAGGCUGAGAAUCAGAAGACAUUUCAGCAGACAUCUACAAAUCUGAAGGACAAAACAUGGUUCAAGCAUCUGGGCACAGGCGCUCGGGCCACUGUAUCAGGUCCACCCGUGGCUCCAAAAUGGUCUCCUGGUCCGUGAUAGCAAAGAUCCAGGAAAUAUGAUGCGAGGAAGAUGAGAGGAAGAUGGCGCGAGAGUUCCUGGCCGAGUUCAUGAGCACAUAUGUCAUGAUGGUGAGUGGGCGGGCAGCACGAAGUGGGUGGGCUCUGCCAGGGCCUUCCAUGACCCCCUCCCCAUUCUGACCCCAUGGGUCACAUUGUCCAUUCCUUGCCUCUGAGCUGGGAGCCUGGGGAAGCAGCGAGGAAAGUAAGGGG